rnacentral:lncRNA from 1 species
AAGAUCUUUCUACUUCAUGCCUUUUAAUCUUCCUUGGAUUGAAAAAAACCUAGCUUUAACAGUGAUGCCAUAACUGUGAUGGGAGCCGAACACUAUCAGUAAUUAAAAGGCGGGAACCAGGGAUGAUGGAUGUCCUGCAUUGCACAGCUCUGCCCAUCUAAGUUGUACUGUGCAGUCUCUGACCCCUAGCAUCUGCCAACAAGGUCCUUUUAAAGUUGGAAAAUGUUUAAGAUUUGGAGGGAGCACUCCUUGGUGGGAAGCUUUUGAGAGCACGAGGAGAGGGAGAGAAGCCGAUUCCCUGCUGAGCCAGAAUACUGAUGUGGGUCUGAGUGUCAGGACGGUGGAUCAGACACUUCAGCAGGCUGAGCCAUCUAAGCGCCCUUUUGGAAGUUGUUCUUAUUUCAAAACCUGACAUUGCUUGAAGGGCACGUGUGUUUUUUGCACUUUUGUAAACAUUUAUUUUUGAAUAAUUUUAUAUUUACAGAAAAGGUGCAAAGAUGUUACAAAGGUGCGCUAAUUGACUGUUUACUUGGUUUUCCACUAAAGUCCUUUACACAGUUGCAGGGUCCAAUCCAGGAUACCUCACUGCAUUUAGUUUUGCACAUUUUUAACAUCCAGCAAUUUGUCAAAAGAUAGGACUGUAAAUUGAAGAGGAGACUGUUUUAAGUUUUAAAUUCUAAAUUCAUAUGUCACUUGGGGUGUUUGGCUUGCUAACAGCAAGUCUAGUUGUGCAUUUUCAGCUGUAAAUUUCAAAAGGAUUACAUUUGUAGGGGCUGACCUGACUUCAUUAUGUCUUUGUGUUAAAUUAUUCCCAAGCAUCAACGUGUUCAAGUAUGUGUGUGUGUGGGUGUGUAUUGUUGGCUACAUGUUUUCCUUUAAUCGAUUUUAACUCUUGUCCCUCUAGGCCAGUAGUUCUCAACCUUUUUAGUCUCAGGACACCUGUAUAUUCUUAAUCAUAUCGAGGACCCCAAAGAUCCUUUUUGUUUACAUGGGUUUUAUCUACUGAUGCUUAACCAUGUUUAAAAAUUUGAGAGAUUUAAGAAUAAUUGUUUUAAAGAUAAUAAACCCAUUGUUAAUGUUUUUAUGAGGAAAAGAACCUUCCAAAAAAUUAGUGGUAUUCAACGUUUUUGUAAUCUUUGAACUCUCUGGCUUAAUAGAAGCCAGAUUAUCACGUCUGCUGUGUUAAGUCUAUCGUGAUAACGUGGUUUUGGUUGGAUUCUAUGUAGCGUAUCCAGCUUCAUUCCUGUCCUUGGAGAAGAGAAGCACUUUAAGAAUUAUUCUCAGGUGGUUGGUGUGGGUAUUCUUUGAUACAACACCAAAAACUCAAGUGGUAAUUUAAUUAUGUGGUAUCCUAAAUCGUAUCGAUGAGCUUUUCAUGCUGUUAAUUAAACUCCAUUGGCUCCA